CGGCUCCACAGACCAGCGCGGAUCGGGCGGGAGGCCCGUGGCCCCGGAGCUGCCGCAGCCGCAGCCUCAAGAGAAUCCUGUGGUCAAGACGUUUGGCCUGGGACAAGAACCUGAGGGCAUCUGACAAGGCCACAGUCAGCCCCUUGAGCAGAAAGGAGUCGAGUAGUCCCACACAAGCUCAGAAGAAACUGGAAUGAGCGUCUUGGCAGGGGCCUUUUGCAAGGAGAUAGAGCAGAGGAAGUGGAAGCCACC